rnacentral:rRNA from 1 species
UCGAGGAUCUUCGGCAAUGGGCGCAAGCCUGACCGAGCGACGCCGCGUGUGGGAUGAAGGCCUUCGGGUUGUAAACCACUGUCAGUGGGGAGAAAAUUUACGGGAGUUCUCUCUCGUAAUUGAUCUAUCCGCAGAGGAAGUGUGGGCUAAGUUCGUGCCAGCAGCCGCGGUAAGACGAACCACACAAACGUUAUUCGGAAUUACUGGGCUUAAAGGGUGCGUAGGCUGCGCGGAAAGUUGGGUGUGAAAUACCUCGGCUCAACCGAGGAACAGCGUCCAAAACUACCGUGCUUGAGGGAGACAGAGGUAAGCGGAACUUAGGGUGGAGCGGUGAAAUGCGUUGAUAUCCUAAGGAACACCCGUGGCGAAAGCGGCUUACUGGGUCUCUUCUGACGCUGAGGCACGAAAGCUAGGGUAGCGAACGGGAUUAGAUACCCGCGUAGUCC